AAUCAACGCUGGCGGCGUGCCUCAGACAUGCAAGUCGAACGAUUAAACUUUCCUUCGGGAAAGAUAUAAAGUGGCGUACGGGUGAGUAACACGUAAGUAAUCUACCUUCGAGUGGGGAAUAACGUUCGGAAACGAACGCUAAUACCGCAUAAUGCAGCGGCAUCAUAUGAUGACAGUUGUUAAAGCAUUUAUGCGCUUGAAGAGGAGCUUGCGGCAGAUUAGCUAGNGGUAAGGUAAUGGCUUACCAAGGCAACGAUCUGUAUCCGGUCUAAGAGGACGGUCGGACACACUGACACUGAAUAACGGGUCAGACUCCUACGGGAGCAGCAGUGGGGAAUAUUGGACAAUGGGCGCAAGCCUGAUCCAGCCAUGCCGCGUGAGUGAUGAA
rnacentral:rRNA from 1 species